rnacentral:rRNA from 1 species
GCGCCCCGCAAGGGGAGCGGCAGACGGGAGAGUAAUUUUUGCGCACGUACCCUGCAGAAUCGGAACAACCCAGGGAAACUUGGGCUAAUACCGGAUACGCCCGAAAGGAGAAAGAUUUAUCGCCGAAGGAUCGGCCCGCGUCUGAUUAGCUAGUUGGUGGGGUAAUGGCCCACCAAGGCGACGAUCAGUAGCUGGUCUGAGAGGAUGAUCAGCCUCACUGGGACUGAGACACGGCCCAGACUCCUACGGGAGGCAGCAGUGGG